rnacentral:rRNA from 1 species
UACGAAGGGGGCUAGCGUUGCUCGGAAUCACUGGGCGUAAAGCGCACGUAGGCGGAUUCCUAAGUCGGGGGUGAAAUCCUGGAGCUCAACUCCAGAACUGCCUUCGAUACUGGGAAUCUUGAGUCCGGGAGAGGUGAGUGGAACUGCGAGUGUAGAGGUGAAAUUCGUAGAUAUUCGCAAGAACACCAGUGGCGAAGGCGGCUCACUGGACUGGUACUGACGCUGAGGCGCGAAAGCGUGGGGAGCGAACGGG